rnacentral:lncRNA from 1 species
GGAACUUUUUGAAUAAAUACUGGAUCUAUAGCUCAAACCCAAACAAUCAAACAAACCAAGUCCAAAACAAUAAAACCCUUUCAGAAAAUAAACAAAGAAACAGAAAAAUAAACCGAAAGCAGAAAAACAAUAAAACACAGCCCAAGAAAGCAGCCCACACAAAUAAAGACCCAACAAAAUCAACGGCAGUGGAAAACUCUGGAGACCAUUACGUCUCAGCUGGCAUCAACAACACCCCUCUUGAAGAUAACGCCAUCGCCUGGGAAAAGCAAACUUCAUUCAUAUCAAUCGUUUCUUCCAUCAGUCAACAGCAAUUAAUAUUCACCGACUUCCUUCCCACUUUUCUUCUUGAGAAAUCCAAAAAGUAAAGCUUACUGCAAAACUCCUCCCACUUCCUCUUCAAACGUCCGUCCUCUCAACUCCCUCUGGCGCUCCGUCCAUCUCCUCUCCUCAUCCGCCACAGCCUCAGCCUCAGGAGGAACAACUCGUUUUUCAAUAGUGUCGGAAAUUGAUUUUGAGGUAACAAAUUUAACGAGUAAAUUCGUAAAUAUUAUUAUUUAAUAUUUACGAGUUAAAUAUGGUAUUAAAUUAAUUUUUAAAUUGACAAUUUAUGCUAUUUGAAUUAAUAAUUAGGUUCAAGUGAUAUAAUUUUAAAGUCAAGUGAUUUUAGAAAAUAAUGUAUCAAGACCUCGUUUCUAUAAAUCGAGUUUUAUUAAAAUUUUGUUAAGAAAUUUUAAUAUUUAGAUAGUUAAUUAAAUAAAAAAAAUUAAAUUGUAAAAUUUAUAAAAUUUAGUCAUAAUUAAAUUACAAUAAUUAAAUGGUUUAAUCAUUAAAAGGAGGAGGACUCAUAGAAGUUGGACCAUAUUAAUUGUAAAUGUACAGUUAAAGGUCUUUUAAUUUGUUAAAUUAUUAGAUAUAAGGUUAAUGUUGUAAAUUAAUAAAGAUAAGUUAAAAAUAUUAAUUAAAACAUAGCAUCAUCUUCCAAAUGGGAUCAUCAUCGAAUGACCAUUGGAGAAGCUUGUAAGGUUCGGUAAAUGUACCCUUUGUAUGUAAGUUCAAUUUGAACUUAAUUUUUUUGUAAUUUUUAUUCGUUACAAUUAGGUUCAGUUAAUUCGUACUUUCGUUUUUGGAACUUAUAAAAAUUUUAAAUGAUACUGUAGAGGCUCAAUUUAGCCCGGGAUUAUAAACCCAAAAUAAAAUAAAUAAAAAGUAAAAAUUUAAAUAUUAUUAACAGUCUAUCAAUCCAAAUAUCAAAAAUCAGCCCAAAACAUUUACAUUAACCUAAGUAGCCCAAAAUGCCCCUGGCGCAAAUGGGCCAAAACUUAAACAAACUUUAGCCAGCUAGGAACCCUAGCAGCAAGGAGCGCUGCAGCCCUAGCCUUCAGUGUGCCUACGUACGACCCCUGCACGCCUCCGUACGCCACCCUCGAUCCUCCACGUCGCCUUUCGUACUUGUAAGAAUACAAAAGGGACAACAGCAGAACAGAUACAAAAAAGAGGAACAGAUUUUUGUAUUCUUUUUCUUUUUUCUUUAUUUUUGCUUUCGGCUACAAAAGCCAAAGAGAGGGAAUGUAAUGAACACACACGCACAUAACACAACAAAAAAAUCAAUCAAUACAAAAAAAGCUUGAAAAGAAAAAAGUCUCCACAAGGUGAUUUUAAUCUCGUUUUUCUUUCGAUUUAGUUUUUGUUUUCUUUGAUUUAUCUACUGCAUAAAAAAAGCGAAUAAAGGGGAGGGCAAAUCAAAUACAAAGAAAUCAAUUUUGUUUAAAGAAAAAGAGGGAGGAGAGCCUUAUCUUGUAGAUAUGUCGAAGGUUUUUCUCACUUUGUUGCAAUCGAAGUUGAAAAGAGAUCUCAAGGCUGAAAGUUCUCCAUCGUUGGCAGGUUUAGGCCAUCGUCUGCGCUGUCUGCCCCUGAAUCUGGUGGUGGUUCGGCUGCUGCAAGUUUAUUGACUGAAAUCCUAGUUGAAAGGGCUAAGAAUUUCGGGGGUUUUUGCUUAGAAAAAUGGUUU